UAGGGAAUCUUCCGCAAUGGGCGAAAGCUUGACGGAGCAACGCCGCGUGAGUGAUGAAGGUCUUCGGAUCGUAAAACUCUGUUAUUAGGGAAGAACAAAUGUGUAAGUAACUAUGCACGUCUUGACGGUACCUAAUCAGAAAGCCACGGCUAACUACGUGCCAGCAGCCGCGGUAAUACGUAGGUGGCAAGCGUUAUCCGGAAUUAUUGGGCGUAAAGCGCGCGUAGGCGGUUUUUUAAGUCUGAUGUGAAAGCCCACGGCUCAACCGUGGAGGGUCAUUGGAAACUGGCAAACUUGAGUGCAGAAGAGGAAAGUGGAAUUCCAUGUGUAGCGGUGAAAUGCGCAGAGAUAUGGAGGAACACCAGUGGCGAAGGGGACUUUCUGGUCUGUAACUGACGCUGAUGUGCGAAAGCGUGGGGAUCAAACAGG
rnacentral:rRNA from 1 species